rnacentral:tRNA from 1 species
AGUGAAGUCAGCUAAUUAAGCUAUCGGGCCCAUACCCCGAAAAUGUCGGUUACAGACCUUCCUUCACUA